CCCCCCCCCCCCCAAAGCUCCGCCCCUAGCUGUGUAAAUCCUGCUCUUGGUUCAACUUCUUGCUGUCCACUCCUGGGAGCAGAGGCAGCCACCCCUGGAUUUGUCCCUCGUCUCCUUGGAUUCAUCCUUCCACUAGAUCUCUUUCCUGAGAUUUGCUGUCUGGUGGAACUCUCUUAUCAGAAGCAGCCAAGAAGCAAUGAAGAGAAGGGAAGAAUGAGAAAAGGGGAGCAAGGCUGAGUGAGCCUCGUGAGCAACUCGGCUCAGCUGGGGAGACCCUCUCCUGGGAGCUGCAAUGCCUCUGCUGAGGAGACUUCCUCUCAGAGCUGUGUGGUUCCUGGGCCGAGUGUCUCAGGAUGCUCUUCCAUCGGGAUAACCUUCUCCCCUCUGAGCAGUGUGGCUCCUGGGUUCCUGAGUCCCAGGAUACACUUCCAGACUGGUCAAAAUGUGAACCUGCCCAUCAUCAAAGAUCCAGUCUCUUGUAGAAAGAAGAUGGACCGGUAUGAUGUCAGAACUGUGUGAAAUCUCUUUCCCGGACCUAAGUUUCCCCACUGGCUGGCACCAGACCCCUUUAGCAUAUUUUCAUCCCUGUCAGGAAAGUUAAAGAACCAAAAAUGAUAGUGUAGAUAGAUAUCGCCAGUUUUCCAAUCAAGAAAUUCAAAGCCAAGCAAAGUGUGGACAUUCACCAACUCUCCUGGCUUCUGAGACUUUAUAGGUGGCCUCUCUGCUCUCUGGGUGCCUUUCUUUAGCAACACAGAAGUGACCUCAGAAAAGAUCUUGCCAAAGGUUCCUAGUGCUAGAGAGUGACACGGCCGUGGCCUCUAGACGCAAACAUUCCAAUGUGAUUGUAUUUCUUAGAUUGCGCGGAAGGUUGAUAAUCAGUAAACUGUUCUUAAUCGCGAGGAAGGUUAAAUGAAGAGUCUCUGAAUGAAGGUUACGUUGGCCGCCUUGCGGCGCGGUUCCGUGCUCACCGAGCACCCUCUGCCCGGCACACAGCGGCCGCCAGGUACUUCUGCCCGGGUGCAGACCGGGGUGCGCUUUCCCUUGCAGACGGACAGCCACCCUUUCAGAAAGCAGAUCACAGAAGCAGAGAUGGCUGCUGUGAUGUUUGCAAUUGGACCCCUGACUUGGAGAGAGACCAAAUCUGCAACUAAGGAUGCUGUGCUAUCAGAGAACGGCUUUGGAAAAGAUUUAUCACAGAAGAUCACUGUACUGGGGGAGAAAAGCCUAUGGGGCUCCAGAAUGGAAGGCCUGAGAAGUGGAAUGGCAGGAUAUGAUGACUGAAAAAUAUUCAAGAGCAUCACCUGAGUCAGAGACUAGUAAGGAGGGAGAAGACGCAAGCUGCUUUAAGGGGCUCCAGACUUGAAGCUUCUCUUUUCCCAGAACCAGGAAUUGUCACAGAAGGACCUGGCCAACAACGCCGAACACAUGAGGGAAUCUCCACGAAGAAUUUACAUUUGAUUGCAGAUACCCAUUUGGGGGAGAUAAUCAUCAAGGAUACAGAAGACAGAAAAAUUAUAAGGCAGACUUCAUCAUUUAUUUUGAGGGAAAAAAUCCCAGUACUGAAAAAUAAAAAACCCUAUAGAUGUAGGCA
ensembl:lncRNA